CGCAUGCGUAGCAGCGGGUCGCCGGGAAGGCCGCAGUGAGGCUUCUGGGACUUGGCACGUUCUUCCACACCGGACACUUGGGUUUUCCCAGCUAACCCCAGGGUCUUCUCCUUGGCACUCGCUAUGACGCUGAGAGACUUCUGUAACAUGGAUGUCCGCGGGUGCCCUGGCUUCUUCUCGGAGCUGAGGUUGUGGGCGCUGGCCGACUUGCACACCAGCGGCACCGACUCCGUGGAUGCGGCCUCGCUGUCUUCCUUCAGCUUCUGGGUUAGCUUCUUCCCCGACACGGACUCUAGUGUCGAGUCUUCCGUAGCCUCCUCUUCUUGGCUUUCCGUGGGCAGGCUGCUGGAGCCGUCCGUCUGGUCCCGCACGUGGUCGUAAGUGCUGUGCGAUUUCUUGAGAGAGAAGACUCGGUUUCUCAGCGACUCCUCCUUGGGUUUCGCGGUGUUACUGGAAGACUCCGGGGGGUUCUUCUUGCCGAGGGCCGUGCUCUUGGCCGGGCCGUGGUCUGCAGAUUCCUUGUCCUCUUUGGAGCACUGCCUGCUGACUGUCUCUGGGAUCUCGGUGAUGCGCCGCAUGAUGGAACGCCCGAGGCCCUUCUUGGAGCAGCGCUUCUUCUGGAGGUGGGGAUUGUUUGUGAUCAUCUUCUUCCUUUUAUAGAUUUCCAGCUGAGCAUAGAGUUUUUUCAGCUCAUCCUGCAAGAAGAGAAAAAUGCAGAGACAUGUAGAAUUCAGCCUUUGAGCUGGACCCUGCCGCUCCCUGGCACUGGGACUCAGCGAGCUGCGGUUCUUUGGGGCAGCUGCUCUAUUGCUUCUGCUGACACCUUGAUACCUGCACUCAUCCAUGGUCUCCUCACUUUUACUUUCUGAUUAUUUCAUAUUUUGUUUCACAUAAAGUUUAAGCUUUAGGACAGGAGCUCAUGCAGUCAACGUUUGCACCAUGCAGCAAACGUCUUAUCCUUUCAAGUGGCGUGGAGCAGCCCGCGCCUGGACCAUACAAGGUGCUGUGUGGUGUCUGGUGAUAAGCCAUGUCCCUGAAGAGUGCUGGGACCACCACGGGCCAUGGGUCAAGUUACGCCUGAUGCUGUCUGCCACCUGGAGGACAGGCGUCUACAGAUGCCUGUAUUAAACAGUCCGGGCUGUCUGCUACAGAUCUGGGUGACUGUCCACCAGCAAGGUGUCAUGAGCACCUCCUACGGACCAUGUGCCGUCAGUUCAUCCUUGUGAGCGCUGAUCCAUCAGUCAAGACCAUCAGCGAGCCCGAGCAUUCUAACACGUCGCUUAUACAUCCUGGGUCUGGAGUGGCUCUGCGUUUGCUGUCUUCAGUUCCUACACGUGGAUUCCCUAACACAAAUGCAUGAACGUGGCACACACCCACACACGCACGUGCAGCUGCCUGAAUCAACAGGCCUACUCUGAAACAGGAGAGCAGGCUGGCUGGCAUUACCCGGAUGUCCUCUGGAUCCAAGCUGUGCUCGCUCCAGGCUGAGUUGAUGCUGCUGUUUAGGUAGGACCCAGACCGGCCCAUGUCCAGCUCAUCUUCAUACGCCUCCGCAGCAAUGUCAUCCCGUGGGUUAUUGCUUGAAUGAGAAAACUGCAACAGACAGGAUGAGCUGUAGCCGUCCGCUCACUGGGAGAGCACAGACGUUUCCUGAAGCUUCUACCGUCACCCUCAUUUCUGCGGCUCGAUGGACUCACUCCCUCACCUGUUGUCAAGGCUCACUGCUUUGCUGUCCCUGUCCCGUGCGGAAGCUCUGUGCUGAGUCAGAACCAGCGCAGAGCCCCCCCCUUCCACUGCAGGGUUCACCCACGCCCCUCCCGUGGGCUCCCAGUGUUACACACAUUGCUCCUCUCCCAUGGCGUGUUGCAUUUUGAAAAUGAACAUACGUACAAGAAUCUGAGAAGUGCCCUCUGAGAGAAGCAGUUUCGACCCCGUGGUUGCUGACCAGGAAUUUUGCCAGUACACCAUCAUCUGCUCUGGCCCAGGUGGAAAGGUCAAAGUUGAAACUUGACAUGUAGGCGAUUCUGGCUCAUCAGGCAGAGUGGACAGUGAGAGAGAGAGAGACAGAGAGAAAGGUCUUCGUUUUGCCAUUGGUUCACCCUCCAAUGGCCGCCGUGGCUGGCGCAUUGUGCUGAUCUGAAGCCAGGAGCCAGGUGCUUCUCCUGGUCUCCCAUGUGGGUGCAGGGCCCAAGUACUUGGACCAUCCUCCACUGCACUCCCUGGCCACAGCAGAGAGCUGGACUGGAAGAGGGGCAACCGGGACAGAAUCCGGUGCCCCAACCGGGACUAGAACCCGGUGUGCCGGCGCCACAAGGCGGAGGAUUAGCCUAGUGAGCCGCGGCGCCGGCCUAUUCACUGACUUCUAAAAAGGCUGGCAGCAGUGGACAGCCCUGUGCGCCGGGAGUCACGCGUGACAGCGGAGGGCGUUUCAGGUGCGUGGUGACGAGCCUUCUCGCGGACUUGUCAUUCUCUGGUUGGUCUGCUGCUGUGACUGGUUGUGGAGAAGCAUGGUUGUUAGAUCUGGGAAUGUACUUGCUUGCUAUUCUGGGCACAAACAGGAAAGUAGCCUCUCUUGGAUGACGGAGGGGGAGAGGGGUCAAGGCUACUGGUGCUCUGGUCGUGUGCCAAAGACCCAGGGAUGCUGGUCAGGAGAGGGCUGAAGAGGCACUCCUUCCUUUGCUUAUUCAGAAUCUCAUGUUUCCAUUCUUAUUUUCUUCCCUCUUCUAAUCUCUUUCUCUACUUUCUUUCUUUUGAAAGAGAGUGAGACAAAAUUGGGAGGUCAGCUCCCUGGAUUCCUGGCCCCUUCCUAGAGCUCCGAGGGUUUUCAGACCACCCAGAACUCCUUUUGCUACACUUACAAACGUGUCAGCUGAGCCCAAGGCCCAGUUGUUCUCUGGCAUCACUGAUUCUGAAAAGUGCAAGAAAGCGUUGGGUGACUGAAGUCAGAGGCGAGAAGCAUCCUGGGAAACCCGCAGGGCUGUGGUCUCCUGCCCCCACCGGGACGACUGCCGCUCCUGUUAGUCUCCGGAAGUCUGCACAGCAACAAAGGAUCUGGAACCAAAGCCCGGGGCUCUGCUCCGACCUCCGAGGACAAAGACAACCUCAGCGUAUUCCCACGCAUGCUGACGGCCGACACCUGGCCAGCCACGGAGCGAUGGUGCUGCUGUCCUUCUACUAAUCCACCCGGAGGGCCUCAUUCCAGUUUCAAAUAUGCAUCCAGGGGAAAUUCUCUGAAGAUGUAACAUGCGUGUUUGCUUCAUCGCAGGCCACUGUCUUCUUUCUCCUUUGUACUCACCUGCUGUAGCAUCGCAUGUGACGUAACAAAAGCAAAGGGCAGGGGACACACUCUGAUCCCAGAAAGGGACUGCUAAGAUACGGUGACAACAAACCCCCCUGCACACAGUAACUCAGUCACCAGGGUGGGGUAGGUGUUUUGCUUUGUUUUGUUCUGAAUUCAGCAUAAUGCACACUCACAAAUUGUCUAUUUGGAUAUUAGGAUGGUAAAAGCAUAAACUAUCAUGGAACAUGAAUGAAAACAUAAAUAAAUGAUCUGUAUCUAUUUUUAAGAUUUGUGCACGUACGGUUGUGUGAAUGCAGCCUGUUGAAAUCCUUGCUUAGUAUAUACUAAGUUGAUCUUCAGUAUAUGAAGGUAAUUGAAAAUGAAACUCGAUAA